GCCAGGCGUGGUGGCACAUGCCUGUAAUCCCAGCUACUCAGGAGGCUGAGGCAGGAGAAUCGCUUGAACCCAGGAGGUGGAGGUUGCAGUGAGCCGAGAUGGCACCACUGCACUCCAGCCUGGGUGACAGAGUGAGACUCUGUCUCAA
rnacentral:SRP_RNA from 2 species